CCUACGGGGGGCAGCAGUGGGGGAUAUUGCACAAUGGGGGAAACCCUGAUGCAGCGACGCCGCGUGGGUGAAGAAGCUCCUCGGCGCGUAAAGCCCUGUCAGCAGGGAAGAAAAUGACGGUAUCUGAAGAAUAAGCCCCGGCUAACUCCGUGCCAGCAGCCGCGGUAAUACGUAGGGGGCAAGCGUUAUCCGGAUUUACUGGGCGUAAAGGGGGCGCAGACGGCGGAGCAAGCCAGAAGUGAAAGCCCGGGGCUCAACCCCGGGACUGCUCUUGAAACUGGGUGGCUGGAGUGCGGGAGGGGUAGGCGGAAUUCUUGGUGUAGCGGUGAAAUGCGUAGAGAUCAGGAGGAAUAC
rnacentral:rRNA from 1 species